CAGGGUCCUAAUGCUUCAUAUCAAGCGAUUUACUGCAGGCAACUGGGAGCCAGAGAAGGUGGAUGAUCCCAUGUCCAUCCCUGCAGAAAUAACCCUCCCAGCCGUAUGUGGGAAGACAGCCCAUGUCCAGUAUGGAGCCAGGGCAAGCUCCCUGGGGAAAAACAACAUGGACAACACACCUGCAAACUCCCCGAAAGGCACCCUUGAUAGACCAGAGACACCAGCCAGACAAUAUCUACAAAUUGUCAAGUGUGAUCUCACAUCUGGGAGACAACAUGUAUACAGGCCACUACAUCAGUGAUGUUCUGGACAGCCGUGGCAGUGGGUGGCUCUGCCUGGAUGACGCACAUGUCUUGAGGACAGAU